ACAGAGUAACUUGAUUUAGCCUCUCCUAGGCUUUGUCUGUAUAUAAAGAACGGAGACAUAGCCUAGAAUAGGUUAGGUCAGGGCUCGUUCA
rnacentral:pre_miRNA from 11 species